AGAGUUUGAUCCUGGCUCAGGAUGAACAUUGGCGGCGUGGAUAAGGCAUGCAAGUCGAACGGGAACAUAAUGUUUUGCGUAAGUAAAAUUGUAUGUUCCAGUGGCGAACGGGUUAGUAACGCGUAGAUACAUCCCAUAGAGUUUGGCAUAGCCCAUCGAAAGGUGGGAUAAUUCCAAAUAGUCCCUGAGAGCAAUCGAAGGGUAAAGGAGCAAUCCGCUCUAUGAUUGGUCUGCGUCCCAUCAGCUUGUUGGUGAGGUAAUGGCUCACCAAGGCAAUGACGGGUAGGGGGUGUGAGAGCACGACCCCCAACAGGGAAACUGAGACACGGUUCCCACUCCCACGGGAGGCAGCAGUCGAGAAUCUUCGACAAUGGGCGAAAGCCUGAUCGAGCGACGCCGCGUGCGGGACGAAGGUCUUCGGAUUGUAAACCGCUUUUCUAGAGGAAGAAACCAAUGUUUACAUUGGUUGACGGUACUCUAGGAAUAAGAGGUGACUAAACUCGUGCCAGCAGUAGCGGUAAUACGAGUGCCUCAAAUGUUAUCCGGAAUUAUUGGGCGUAAAGCGUCCGUAGGCGGCUCUGCAAGUUUCUUGUUAAAAACUUUGGCUUAACCAAAGAAUUGCGAGGAAAACUGCAGAGCUUGAGGGUGUUAGAGGUUGGUGGAACUCACGGUGUAGGGGUGAAAUCCGUUGAUACCGUGGGGAACACCGAAAGCGAAAGCAGCCAACCAGGGCAUUCCUGACGCUGAGGGACGAAAGCGUGGGUAGCGAUACGGAUUAGAUACCCGUGUAGUCCACGCCCUAAACGAUGCUGACUAGCUAUUUGGAGUGUCGACCCUUCAAGUGGCAAAGCUAACGCGUUAAGUCAGCCGCCUGGGAAGUACGGCCGCAAGGCUAAAACUCAAAGGAAUAGACGGGGGUUCGCACAAGCGGUGGAUCACGUGGCUUAAUUCGACGACAAGCGAAGAACCUUACCAGGGCUUGACAUGCCAAGGUGUAGUCUUACUGAAAGGCAAGGCGACCGUUAAUUCGGAGCUUGGCACAGGUGCUGCAUGGUUGUCGUCAGCAUGAGUCUUGAGAUGCUCCCUUAAAUGGGGUAUCAUGCGCAACCCUUAUUGCUUGUUUUACGUAUCAAGCGAGACUGCCUGUGUUUUCACAGGAGGAAGGAGGGGAUGACGCCAAAUCCGCAUGGCCCUCACGCCCUGGGCUGCACACGUGAUACAAUGGCCGGUACAAUGGGUUUGCUAAGCGGUAACGCGGAGCUAAUCCCACCAAAACCGGUUUCAGUUCGGAUUGAGGUCUGCAACCCGACCUCAUGAAGCUGGAAUCGCUAGUAAUCGCGGAUCAGCCACGCCGCGGUGAAUAUGUCCCCGAACCUUGUACUCACCGCCCGUCACACCAGGGAAGUCGGCAGUAGUUUAAGUCCCAACUUAGAUUGGGCCCAAACUAAGGUCGAUAACCAAGGUGAAGUCGUAACAAGGUAACC
rnacentral:rRNA from 1 species